GAUCACGAACGAUUCAUCCCUGUUAAAAAAUUGAUUAUCGAAUGACGAGAAAAAGAAAAAAGAAAAAAAAAGGAGAAAAAAGGCAACGUAAAAAAGUCCCAUUGAAAAUACAUGCGUACGAGUGCGUAGGAAUAGAUUUUAGGAAAUAUCGUAAAUAAGAAAACUUGAACAAUCGACUACCAGAAAAAGCUCAUAUACGUAUCGAUGGAUCGGGUACGGCAUGAGAGGAAUGUAAAAGAAAACGUAACAGCAAAGGUGAAGAUGCGUUUGUUUAUUAUUAACCUUAUGUAAUAUCGUUUCAAAUUCUCAAUUACAUUAUUAUAUAUAAUAAUAAUUAUAAUAAUCAUAAUAAUAAUAUGACAAUGUAUACAGGUUAGAUACAACUUUUUCUUCAUCUUGCAUGGAGUUUUGUUAAUUUUUUCUUCAUCUUAAUAAAUCGGUUUUUGUUUCAUAAUUCAGUUUGUUUUCUCUUUUUCUCUUUUUUCUUCUUUUUCUGCAUUCAUCCUUUAUAUUUUUUUUUUAACCCAAUUGGAACAUGCCAUCGCCGAAGGAGAUAUCAAGACAUCGUUCGACAUGCUUAAUUCUCGAAAGACGCUCGCAUGCCGCCACUCAGGU